rnacentral:rRNA from 1 species
AGCGGCGGACGGGUGCGUAACGCGUGGAUAACCUGCCCAAAAGACCGGGACAACGCCGGGAAACUGGCGCUAAUACCGGAUACGCUCCCUCCCCCGCCUGGGGGAGGGAGGAAAGGGGCAACCCGCUUUUGGAUGGGUCCGCGUCCCAUUAGCUUGUUGGCGGGGUAACGGCCCACCAAGGCGACGAUGGGUAGCCGGCCUGAGAGGGCGGCCGGCCACACUGGGACUGAGACACGGCCCAGACUCCUACGGGAGGCAGCAGUGGGGAAUCUUCCGCAAUGGGCGAAAAGCCUGACGGAGCAACGCCGCGUGAGCGAAGAAGGCCUUCGGGUUGUAAAGCUCUGUCUGGGGGGAAGAAGACCUGACGGUACCCCCGGAGGAAGCCCCGGCUAACUACGUGCCAGCAGCCGCGGUAAAAC